UACAGAGGGUGCGAGCGUUAAUCGGAAUUACUGGGCGUAAAGCGCACGUAGGCGGCUUGGUAUGUCGGGUGUGAAAUCCCCGGGCCCAACCUGGGAACUGCAUCCGAAACUGCCUUGCUCGAGUAUGGGAGAGGGAAGUGGAAUUUCCGGUGUAGCGGUGAAAUGCGUAGAUAUCGGAAGGAACAUCAGUGGCGAAGGCGACUUCCUGGACCAAUACUGACGCUCAGGUGCGAAAGCGUGGGGAGCAAACAGG
rnacentral:rRNA from 1 species